GCGGGGAUCACCACGGUCCACCUCCACGGGAAACACGUGAAGCUCCUUCCAACGCGGCGCGAGGCUCGCUGCAGCCCGAGCUGGGGCGCAGGUCCACGGGCCCGCGGUCGCCCUGCGUGCCCACCCCAGGGGUCUGCCUGCGUGCGGCCCCAUCAGAGUUUCCAGGCGAAGUCCCGGGCCCCGGGCUGCGCGCUCCCCGCCGUCCCAACUCGGCUGCCCGCGACUUGGAGGAGCCCCGCGUGCACCGCCCCGCAAAGCGGGGACACUUCGGGGCCUCCCGCUCGCUGCGAGCCCCCCGGGGUCUCCUCGGGCAGCUUCUCGGAGGGCGCAGCGCCCCGGGGCCGGACCCCCCCCCUUCCGAGCUUGCCGUCCUCGGGGGAGGGGAGGGGGGACCCGCGAGCCCGGGGCUCCCCGGAACCGCCGCGCCGAGCCCCGAGCUCCCACCUGAGCCGGCGGCCCGAGGUGUCAGACGCGAGGGCGGGGGGGGGCCCCCGGGGAGGCCGGACCCGGGCAGGGCAGGGCAGGGCAGGGGAGGGCAGGGGGGCACCACCCCCGCCGGCCGACCUGCCGCCGCCCCCCGCCCCCGCCCCGGGCGCCAGGACCCCGGGAGCAGGCAGGAGGCGCGCCGGCGCCGGCGCCCACUUACCCGCUCGGCUGUCCCCGGCCGCGGCCGCCGCGUCCACCGAGCCGCGCGCGCCGCACUUGGCCAAAUUCAAAGGAGCCGGGCGCGGGGGGAGGGGGCCGCGGAGGGAGCGGAGCGUGGGAGCGGGGGCGGGGCGGGGCGGGGGCGGACGGCAAGUGUUACAACUUCCCUCCCCGGGCCGCGGCGGGGGCAGGGCAGCGCGCGGGAGCGCCAAUGAGUUCACUUUCUUUUCCUCCCCGGCGCGCGCUCUCCACCCCCUCCCCCUCCCUCCCUCCCUCCCUCUCCCUUCCCGCCGGGCCCUCGGAGCCUCCAGCUGGGCCCCGGAGGCCCGGCCCGAGUUUGCGGUGCUCGGCGGGGCGAGGGAGGAAGAGGAGGGGGAGGAGGAGAGGGGGAGGGAGGGAGAGGCGAGGAGGCGAGGGCGCCGCGCCGGGGAGCAGCAUCCAGGACCUUGA
rnacentral:lncRNA from 1 species